UACGAAGGGGGCUAGCGUUGCUCGGAAUCACUGGGCGUAAAGGGUGCGUAGGCGGGUCUUAAGUCAGGGGUGAAAUCCUGGAGCUCAACUCCAGAACUGCCUUUGAUACUGAAGAUCUUGAGUUCGGGAGAGGUGAGUGGAACUGCGAGUGUAGAGGUGAAAUUCGUAGAUAUUCGCAAGAACACCAGUGGCGAAGGCGGCUCACUGGCCCGAUACUGACGCUGAGGCACGAAAGCGUGGGGAGCAAACAGGAUUAGAAACCCCGUGUACG
rnacentral:rRNA from 1 species